AGCGAACGCUGGCGGCAGGCUUAACACAUGCAAGUCGAACGCCCCUUUCGGGGGGAGUGGCAGACGGGUGAGUAACGCGUGGGAACGUGCCCAUCGGUUCGGGAUAACCCAGGGAAACUUGGGCUAAUACCGGAUACGACCGUGAGGUGAAAGAACUUCGCCGAUGGAACGGCCCGCGUCUGACUAGCUGGUUGGUAGGGUAACGGCCUACAAAGGCGACGAUCAGUAGCUGGCCUGAGAGGAUGAUCAGACACACUGGAAUUAGAGUGCGUCCAAGACUCCUACGGGAGGGGUCAGAGUGGAAUAUUGGGCAAUGGGUGAAAGCCUGACGCAGCAUCGCCGCGUGGGUGAAGAUGGCCUUCGGGUCGUAAAACCCUGUCAGUUGAGAAGAAACCUUCUCAAGCAGCUGACGUUACCAUCAGAAGAAGCACCGGCUAACUCCGUGCCAUCAGCCGCCGUAACAC
rnacentral:rRNA from 1 species